rnacentral:rRNA from 1 species
AUAGGACGCUGGCGGCAGGCUUAACACAUGCAAGUCGAGCGGAGCGAGGGUGCUUGCACCUUAGCUUAGCGGCGGACGGGUGAGUAAUGCUUAGGAAUCUGCCUAUUAGUGGGGGACAACAUUCCGAAAGGGAUGCUAAUACCGCAUACGCCCUACGGGGGAAAGCAGGGGAUCUUCGGACCUUGCGCUAAUAGAUGAGCCUAAGUCGGAUUAGCUAGUUGGUGGGGUAAAGGCCUACCAAGGCGACGAUCUGUAGCGGGUCUGAGAGGAUGAUCCGCCACACUGGGACUGAGACACGGCCCAGACUCCUACGGGAGGCAGCAGUGGGGAAUAUUGGACAAUGGGCGGAAGCCUGAUCCAGCCAUGCCGCGUGUGUGAAGAAGGCCUUUUGGUUGUAAAGCACUUUAAGCGAGGAGGAGGCUACUAGUAUUAAUACUACUGGAUAGUGGACGUUACUCGCAGAAUAAGCACCGGCUAACUCUGUGCCAGCCGCCGCAGUAAGAC